rnacentral:rRNA from 1 species
CGAACGCUGGCGGCGUGCUUAACACAUGCAAGUCGAACGCGAAAGGGACUUCGGUCCUGAGUAAAGUGGCGCACGGGUGAGUAACGCGUAGAUAACCUGUCUUCAUGUCUGGAAUAAUACGCCGAAAGGGGUACUAAUACCGGAUAUUCUUGCUUUUCAUAAGUUAUGCAAGCAAAGGUGGCCUCUGCAUAUGCUACUGCAUGAAGAGGGGUCUGCGUACCAUUAGCUAGUGGGUGGGGUAAUGGCCUGCCUAGGCGACGAUGGUUAGCGGGUCUGAGAGGAUGAUCCGCCACACUGGCACUGGAACACGGGCCAGACUCCUACGGGAGGCAGCAGUGAGGAAUAUUGCGCAAUGGGGAAACCCUGACGCAGCGACGCCGCGUGAGUGAGGAAAGGCCUUCGGGUCGUAAAGCUCUGUCAAGAGGAAAGAAGUGUACAAUGGCUAAUACCUGUUGUAUUUGACGGUACCUCUAAAGGAAGCACCGGCUAACUCCGUGCCAGCAGCUGC